rnacentral:rRNA from 1 species
ACUCAAAGGAAUUGACGGGGACCCGCACAAGCGGUGGAUGAUGUGGUUUAAUUCGAUGCAACGCGAAAAACCUUACCCACCUUUGACAUGUAUGGAAGAUCGCAGAGACGCGAUUGUGCUCGAAAGAGAGCCAUAACACAGGUGCUGCAUGGCUGUCGUCAGCUCGUGUCGUGAGAUGUUGGGUUAAGUCCCGCAACGAGCGCAACCCUUGUCAUUAGUUGCUACAUUUAGUUGGGCACUCUAAUGAGACUGCCGGUGACAAACCGGAGGAAGGUGGGGAUGACGUCAAGUCCUCAUGGCCCUUAUAGGUGGGGCUACACACGUCAUACAAUGGCUGGUACAAAGGGUUGCCAACCCGCGAGGGGGAGCUAAUCCCAUAAAGCCAGUCGUAGUCCGGAUCGUAGUCUGCAACUCGACUACGUGAAGUCGGAAUCGCUAGUAAUCGUGGAUCAGAAUGUCACGGUGAAUACGUUCCCGGGUCUUGUACACACCGCCCGU